rnacentral:tRNA from 1 species
GGAGGGAUGGCCGAGUGGUUGAUGGCGGCGGUCUUGAAAACCGCUGUGGCCCUUCGUGGUCACCGGGGGUUCGAAUCCCUCUCCCUCCGCCU